UACGUAGGGUCCAAGCGUUGUUCGGAAUUACUGGGCGCAAAGCGCGCGUAGGCGGGUUUGUAUGUCGAUUGUGAAAUCCCCGGGCUCAACCUGGGAACUGCAGUCGAAACUGCAAAUCUUGAAUGUCUGAGAGGAUGGCGGAAUUCCCGGUGUAGUAGUGAAAUACGUAGAUAUCGGGAAGAACACCUGAGGCGAAGGCGGCUAUCUGGCGGUACAUUGACGCUAAGGCGCGAAAGCGUGGGGAGCAAACAGG
rnacentral:rRNA from 1 species